CACGUGAUCCACAACCGGAUGUUACUACCGGGGGAAAAGAUUCGGGCAGGAAGUGGCAGGGGGAUGUUUUUUAAUGACUCACUGAAAGAACGAACUUUUCCACGUGUGAUUUUAAUUUCGUCUCUUACUUAAUGAAAAACAUCACAAUUGGUGUCACAUAAUUUAUGACAAAUUUUUGCGCACAUUCGUAACAGAAACUCAGUUUUUGUCAACGAUUCCCCGCAGCCGUCAUUGAUUCAGAUGAAACAUAAUUUUAAUAAGCAGAAUGAAGCUUCAGGCCUUGGCAGCAGAACUUGUGGAAAAACAGGACCGAGAACAGAGAGAUCGCACUUUUCUUCAUGUGGAGCCCAGGAGGGGAACCUUGGAGAUUCUGCUGAAUGAGGAACUGACCUUCAAACGGAGACGCUGACAAUCUGGGUGAAACUCGAGGUACUUUCAGGUUCGCCUUAUCUGUGUCUAACGUUCCCCACAGCAUGAUGCUGCCACGCUGCUGUGAAUCCCUGCAGCUCCUCCAGAGUUACAAAACACAUCGAACUUCAUGGAGAAACAUGGAAAACGUGGAGCUGAUAUGAACGUUUUCAUGGAAACGGUGGUGAGAAGCGGCGAGCAGACGCCAUAAAGCAGCGGAGGCUGCUGCUCGUUGCUAGUCGGCCUCCUCCUGCGCGGCUAACGUCAGCCUGACGGCCCCAUGAUGCGCUCUGCGUGCUUAGAGUUGCGGCUGCGCCCCGUCCCGCGCUAAUCUGGACUCUUUGAAGUUGUGCAACUCAAGGAGCUGCAAGAAACUGAAGCAGUUCCCUCUAAAAACUGGAUGCAAAAAUAUUUUCUCCUACUCAAUAAAUGCAUCAGAGCUAAGAAAUCCCACCUCUUUUGAGCCAUAAAUGCAUCACCAGCAGCAUGGAUUUUCUUUUACUUUCCUGUAAGCCCAUAAAGGUGAAGAGCAAAUACUUUCAUGCAUAAACGAAUAACAUCCAGCAAUUCAUUUUUCUGGAUUCUCUCUUGCAAAUAAUCUUAAUUUCUAUUUUAUGGAUUAAAAAUCUGUAAUAAA